rnacentral:ncRNA from 1 species
AAUUGAGUUGUUUGAACUAAGGUUUUUAUAGUUUAUUCAUUUUAAAUGUAAAUAUUAUUUUGAUGAAAUUUUUAUUUUGAUAAUAAAAAUGAAAAAUUUUUUAUGCAAUAAAUAAAUUUAUAUAUUUAAUAAUUUAAGAUUUAGUGAAAUAAUAAAGUAUAGACUAAUAUUGUGCCAGCAGUAGCGGUUAUACAGGUUAUGCAAUAAAAAUAUAUUAAGUAUAGUUAAUAUUUAAUUAAAGAUUUUAAUAGAAAUUUUAUAAGGUGAAAUUUUAAAUUUUUUUAAUAUUUUGGUAUGAAGCUAGAAAAUUUUGAUUAAAACUAGGAUUAGAUACCCUAUUAUAAAAUAGUAAAUAUUAUUCUUUUAUUAUUAUAAGUUUAAUUUCUUUAAAAUAAAAAAAAUUGGCGGUAUUUUAUCUAUUCAGAGGAAUCUGUUCUAUAAAUGAUAGUCCACGUUUAAUUUGUCUUUUUUUUAUUAGUUUGCAUAUCGCUGUGGUUGAGUAUCUUUUUAAAGAAAUAUUCAGCAUAUGAAUAUAUUUUAUUUCAGGUCAAGAUGUAGCUUAUAAAAAAGUAGUAAUGGAUUACUGUUAUUUGAAUAUUGGAUUAAAUUUUUAAAAAUUUUAUGAAAGUGGAUUUGAAUGUAAUUUUUGAAAUAUAUAAAAAAUGAUAUUGUUCUGAAAUAUGUACAUAUUGCCCGUCGCUUUCAAAUAAGUUGAAAUAAGUCGUAACAAAGUAGGUGUACUGGAAAGUGUCCCUAGAAACAA